rnacentral:lncRNA from 1 species
UUUGCAGCUGCUCUCGGCCGUCUCGGAGCUGUUGGGGGAGGGGACGGCGCCGCUGCUGCCUCGGGCACUUCCGGUCCUGCAGGGUGCGCUGCGGCCCCCGCCUCCGGUGAGUGCUGGUUUGUACUGGUUUGUACUGGUUUGUACUGGUUUGUACUGGUUUGGGGUUUUUCUUUACUGGUUUGGGCUGGGAAUGAACUGGGAAGGGAUUAAAGGGUUAAAAAAGGGUUGAAAUGGGAUUUUUGGGGUUGCGGGCUUAUACUGGUUUGUACUGGUUUCGAGUUUGGGGGUUACUGGGAUAGACUGGGAGGGGCUAGAAUGGAAUCUGGGGGUCACUGCUUUGUACUGGUUUACACUGGUUUGGAUUGGUUAGGACUGGGACAAGUGUAAGGGUUACCGCUUUAUACUGGGAGGGACUGGGAUGAACUGGGAGGGAUUUAAACUGGUCCUUACGGUUCAUACUGGUUUAUACUGGUUAAUGCUGGUUCAUACUGGUUUAUACUGGUCCAUACUGGUCCCUUACCCCCCCAGCCCCCCUCGGACGCUCCCCAUUGGCUGCUGAAUCUCCACGACGACGAUGAGAACGAUGACAUCACCGCCAUGGAAGAGGAUGACGUCACCGACUGGGAGCAGUGAGUGGGCGUGGCCUGGGAAGUGGGCGGGGCCUGGGGCGGUUCCCAUGCCCGUACAUGGACAUGACCCGCCCCCACAGGGCAGAAGUGGGCGGAGCUUUCCCCGGAUUGGCGGAAGCGGCGCUGGGAGCACUGGGAGAACUGGCGGAGAACUGCGGGUAACUGGUUUAUACUGGUCCAUACUGGUCCAUACUGGUCCAUACUGGUCCACACUGGUCCAUACUGGUUUAUACUGGUUUAUACUGGUUCCAGCUCCGCUCUCCUCCCAUACCUGGAUCCCCUCCUUGCUGAGAUCGGAUUAUACUGGUUCCAGCUCUGCUCUCCUCCCAUACCUGGAUCCCCUCCUUGCCGCUGUCCUGGAUCUGACCCAGUUCCCCCAGUCCGAGGUCAGAGGCGCCGCCUACGAAGCCCUUGGGAGCCUGUGCUGCUGCGGGAGGGACGCCCAAACUGGUUUGUACUGGUUUGGACUCGUUUAUACUGGGAGGGACUGGGAGGGCAACGAAAUGGAACUAGAUUUUACUGGUUUAUACGGGUUUAUACUAGGAGGGAUUGGGAUGAACUGGGAGGGCUUUAAACUGGCUUAUACUGGUCUGUACUGGUCAAACCUGGCUUAUACUGGUCCAUACCAGUCCAUACUGGCUUGUACUGGUUUAUACUGGUUUACUCUGGUUUAUACUGGUUUAUACUGGCUCAUAUUGACCUAUUCUGGUCCAUAUUGGUCCACAUUGGUCCGAACCAGUUUAUACUGGUACAUAGCAGUUUGUACUAGCUUGUACUGGUUCAUACUGGAUUAUACUGGUCCAUACUGGUCCAUACCGCUCCAUAUUGGUCCAUAUGGGUCCAUACCAGUCCAUACUGGUUUAUACCGGUGCAUACUGGUUAAUACUGGUUUAUACUAGUCCAUACGGGUCCAUACUGGUUUAUACUGGUUUAUACUGGUUUAUACUAGUACAUACCGGUCCCUAUCGGUCCAUACUGGUCCACACUGCUUUAUACUGUUCCAUACUGGUCAAUACUGGCCCAUACUGGUCCAUACCCAUCCAUACUGGUUUAUACCGGUCCAUGCUGGUUUAUACUGGUUUAUAGUAGUACAUACUGGCCCACACUGGUCCAUACCGGUCCAUACUGGUUUGUACCGGUCCAUACUGGUCCAUGCUGGUUUAUAAUGGUUUAUAGUAGUACAUACUGCCCCAUACUGGUCUAUACUGGUCCAUACUGGUUUCCCCGGGGGGGGGGGGGGGGGGGGGGGGGGGGGGGGGGGGGGGGGGGGGGGGGGGGGGGGGGGGGGGGGGGGGGGGGGGGGGGGGGGGGGGGGGGGGGGGGGGGGGGGGGGGGGGGGGGGGGGGGGGGGGGGGGGGGGGGGGGGGGGGGGGGGGGGGGGGGGGGGGGGGGGGGGGGUGGCUGCAGCCAAUGGGGGAGGCGCUGUGUGACGUCAUCGCCGGCAAGGUCAGGGCGAAUCAGCACUAAUUACUGCCGUUAAUUAAGGGGUUAAUUGCAUUUAAAUUAGCGGGGUUUAGGAAUUAAAAUGGGGGGUGGGCGUGGCUUAAUGAGAGAUGGGCAGGCGGGGCUUAAUUAUAAUUAAAAUGGGUUCAUGGGAAUUAAAAUUGUGGCUGGGCGGGGUUUAAGGGGAUAGUGGGCGUGGCUUAAACUGGGUUUAAUGGGAUUGAGUUGGUUUAAACUGGGCUUACUGGGAUGGGAGUGGCUUAAACUGGUAUAAUGGGAUGGGCGUGGUCUAAAGGGGAAUGGGCGUGGCUUAACCCGGGUUUACUGGGGUGGGCGUGGUUUAAACUGGGUUUAAUGGGAUAGAACCGGUUUAAACUGGGUUUAAGGGGUUUGGGCCAGGUUUAGUUGUGGGCGUGGCCUGACCCGCCCCUCCCCCCACAGAUCGCCUGCCUGAGAUCGCGCCGGGACGACGGCGACGAGGUGGGGGAGGGGCGGCACCAGUUCAAACCAGUUUGAUCCCAGUCCCUCCCAGUUUAUCCCAGAUCACUCCCAGUUCCCUCCAGUUUAUCCCAGUUUGAUCCCAGUUACCUCCCGGUAACCCCCAGCUCCCCCCAGACCUCCCAAGUCUCCGAACUCCGCGAAUCCGCCUCCGAUUGGCUGCUGCAGCUGGGCGCUGCCAUGGCAGGAAAUGACGUCACCCAGAACGGAAAUGACGUCACCCAGACAGGAAAUGACGCGUUUUUCCCGCCCCACCUCUUCCGCCGGAUCCUCCCCUCGCUAUUGGCCCAUCUGGCCGACCCCGCCCACCCGGGGGCGCGCUCCUGGGCGGGCGCCGUGAUUGGCCAGCUGGGCCACGCCCUCGGUCCCGGGGCCACGCCCUUUUUGCCAAAUUUGGGAAGCGCCUUCAGAUUGGCCGUCACGGACCCCGAGCCGGAAGUGAGAGCCAACGCCUUCUACGCCAUUGGUCGGAUCGGGGAGGCCGUGGGACACGCCCACCACGAGUAUCCACCAAUCACCGGGCCGGGUUCGGUAUGGCCACGCCCAUUCGGGUUAAGCCACGCCCAUAACGGCACCUUGAAUGGGUUUACGCUCGGCCCACAAGGGUGUAGCCCUGCCCACAUCUCCAUACAUGGCGUGAAGCUCCUCCCACAGAGUUUAAGCCACGCCCUUGUUUUUAAGCCUGGUUUAAGUUGCCAUAAAAGGGCAUGGGGGGCGUCCUAUUCAUUCUGGACCCCGCCCACAACCCCAUAAAAGGAUGUGAACCACGCCCAUCACUCUCAAGCCCCGCCCACAAUGCUAUUAAAUUAUUUAGACCCCGUCCAUCAACUUUAAGCCCCUCCCACAACUCCAUAAAGAAUUUGAAUCCGUCCCACCAUUUUUAAACCCCGCCCCAUUCCCAUAUAAGGAUUUAAACUCCGCCCACACCUCAAACCGGGGGGGGGGGGGGGGGGGGGGGGGGGGGGGGGGGGGGGGGGGGGGGGGGGGGGGGGGGGGGGGGGGGGGGG